rnacentral:rRNA from 1 species
AACGAACGCUGGCGGCAUGCCUAACACAUGCAAGUCGAACGAGACCUUCGGGUCUAGUGGCGCACGGGUGCGUAACGCGUGGGAACCUGCCCUUAGGUUCGGAAUAACUCCCCGACAGGGGUGCUAAUACCGGAUAAUGUCUUCGGACCAAAGAUUUAUCGCCUUUGGUUGGGCCCGCGUUGGAUUAGCUAGUUGGUAGGGUAAAAGCCUACCAAGGCGACGAUCCAUAGCUGGUCUGAGAGGAUGAUCAGCCACACUGGGACUGAGACACGGCCCAGACUCCUACGGGAGGCAGCAGUGGGGAAUAUUGGACAAUGGGCGAAAGCCUGAUCCAGCAAUGCCGCGUGAGUGAUGAAGGCCUUAGGGUUGUAAAGCUCUUGUACCCGGGAUGAUAAUGACAGUACCGGGAGAAUAAGCUCCGGCUAACUCCGUG